GACCUAGAGCGGAGCGGUCCGCGCCCACGAUCCGUCCACCACAUCUUGCUUGGCUAUAUUCGUGGGAUACCUGGUUCGACUCCAGGCUGGGUCA